CUACCUUACUGGCAAAAUCUUAAAAUCCGCCACAACUUAGAUGUCAUGCAUAUUGAGAAAAAUAUAUGUGAUAACAUAGUAUCAACUCUCCUACAAGAUGCAAACAAGUCGAAGGAUGAUCUACGGGCGCGCCAAGAUCUGACUGCUUUGAAUAUCCGAAAUGAUUUGCAAGCUCAAGAUGUUGGACUUAAAAAAUUAAAGUUGCCUCCGUCUCGUGUUACAAUGUCAAAUGAGCAGAUGCAACGAGUUUGUGAAAUUCUCAAAUCGGUAAAGUCGCCGGAUGGUUACUCUGCUAACAUUUCAAAUAAUGUCCAAGUGCAAGAGCGAAAACUCUUAGGUCUGAAGACCCAUGAUUAUCACGUUCUUCUCCAUCAAUUGCUUCCUGUUGCAAUCCGUAACAAUAUGGAUAAAGAAGCGUCGAAGAUUAUUAUUGAGUAUUGUGGGUUUUUCAGAAAAUUAUGCUCUAAAGUCAUAGAUGUAGAUGAAUUUAAAAAACUUGAAGCUGAGGUCCGAGUUACUCUAUGCAAUAUGGAAGUAAUAUUCCCUCCUUCUUUUUUUACGGUUAUGGUCCAUCUUACCCAGCAUCUUGCAAGAGAGGCUAGAAUCGCCGGACCUGUUACUUAUCGUUGGAUGUAUCCGAUUGAGAGAUACUUGGGCUCCAUGAAACAUAAUGUUCGCAAUCGAGCUCGUCCAGAAGGCUCGAUAGCUGAAGGAUACGUGGCAAAUGAAUGCUUUAUUUUUGCAUCACGUUACAUGCGCCAGAAGAAAACCACGGCUCAAGUACCAGAUAAGGAGAGAAAGCGUGAAAAAUAUCCGAGAUCUCUCUUAGAACAAAUUCAUGCAUAUGUGCUGGAAAACCUUGAUAUGUUCGCAGACUAUCGAAGGUAACAAAUAACACCCGAAAUAUAGAUGAGACUAUUCAUUUUACAUAAUGUUCGCAAUGCAAACUUAUAUAUUGUUUAUGUAGGCGACAUUUGGAGAAGCUUAAGAAUGAAACAACCGGUAGGAAUGCAGCGCAUAAUAUUCAGAAAAGACAUAGGAAAGAAUUUUCUGAUUGGUUAAGAUUUGAUGUUGAUAAAUCACUUCUUGAUGGUACUACGUUACCAGAUGAAAUUAUUAUACAUGCACAACGCCCUUAUUAUGAAGUGAGACGUUAUAAU